AAAAAGAGGCGGAUUGGCAACAGCUCAGGGCUAAUCUUCCUCAAAAAAAAAAAAAAAUUUAAAAAAAAUCCUGGAGACUUUAGAGCUUUACUUCUCUUUUAGUGAGAGUCAACCUUGUUGACCUUGAUCCAGAACAUGAGUCACCCUGUUGAAAACAGAAAUAGGGACGUGCAUUUAAACGUGAUUCUAAAAGUACUCAACUGUACCUAGUCAUUUCCGAGAUUCAUUUUGAUAUUUGACAUGUUUCAUGCUAUCAAUUUGACACACUCAAGUGUCUUAAUAAAUAUUUUCCCCCAAAUCUACAUUAAAUUAUCAACUUUAGAACUAGACUUGCUAAAACGUUAUAGCACUUGAAGUUUGCUUACGAAGCACUGUCAUAAAAACUGGGUCAAAUGAUUUAAUGUUUUCUCCAUUAGGGAGCAGACUCACCCCGAAAGGUGACUCAGUUGAUUCGGUUCACUGUCUGGUUCCCUGAUACCUGUGAAAUUACUGCUGCUAAAAAUAGAUGCCCCGGUCCUUUUAUGCGUUCUUUCUUUCUAAGGUAGAAUUAUUGUCAAUGUUCCAAUGCUGUGGAAAUAGAAAGGUAGUGCUGACCAAUGACCAAGAACCACAAUGAUGUCAUCUGAGGUUUAACCUAAGUCUGCAUGUUUAAUUCAUUUGACGUGUCGUUGGCUAUAAGUCUAGAAUUUUCAAAUAAUGCUUGGAAAUAGUCCCCCCAAUUUUUGACUUAUAAAAAUCAGCUAAAUGUUAAAAAUAAGAUGUUGGGAGUAUGUGAUAAGGAGGUAAGGGAGAAAAAAUGUUUGGGCAUCCCUCUGAAAUCCGGUGUCCUUUUCCGAUUUAGUUCUCCCCUCACAAUCAAUGAGCUGGAGUGGCUGAUUUCAUCUUGAUGGCAUGCUUAUCAAGAUCAUAUUACUGCUAUAUUAUCAGCAGUGUAAUAAUUAGUCUCAAAUUAAGCCCUGUGCGCUUUCUCCUGGGAUUGAAGUUAGCUCUUCAGAAUUCUGUAUUAAAACUAAAAUCCCAGAGGAAGAUGGGCAUGGAUGUUAGCUCAGGGCCAGUCUUCCUCAGCAAAAAGAGGAGGAUUGGCAGUAGUUAGCUCAGGGCUAAUCUUCCUCAAAAAAAAAAACUAAACUAAACUAAAAUCCCUUCCUAGUGCUCCAUGAAGGGGGCUCUCCCUAUCUGUUACCAGCUAGUAGAGUGAGUGGCCUACCUUGGGCUCAGGUGCCAAAAAAAUCUAAGAGGCCAUCAACCCAGUUAUGCUACAGUGAAACCAUCAGUUGUUUUAGCAGGUACAAACUAACCUUGAGGACAGCACCGCUCAGAUACUGUUUUAAAUGGGGCCAAAUGUGUACAAAAAUGUAAAGAGUCCAUAAGCGAAAUUAUACCAGUGAUUCAUCCCCAAAUAUAUUAUAAAAGACAAAAUGUCACAAAGUUGAGCUAUUGCAUAGAAUAUUAAUUGAAAUGGAAAUGCCUUCAAGUCUGAGCAUUGAUAUUAAUUGUAGGAUGAAUGAAGAAGCUCCACUCGGUGGCUGAGAAACCCUGGUCUAAUUCUGGAAUCAGGAAGGAUGAACAAAGGAAGUGCCACUGGUCGCAGCCAAUGAAGAUGGGAGCCUUAGUGAUGUUGCUUGGCCCGACUGGUCUGGCUGAGAGACAGCCACAAAAAUACACGUGGUGUUUGUUUUUAAAUUUUGUAAAAGUGGCACCAGGAGAUGGAACACACAAUGCUGGUGCAUUGGUGCAUGGUGUGUGCAUGGUGCAUGGUGGCGUGGAUUACCAGUCCUGGGUUCAAGAGCCAGCUCUUCAACUUAAUGACUGGGUGACCUGGGGUAAGUUGCAUAUCCUCUGCACCCUGCAGUUUCCUGUCCAUCAAAUAGGAGCGUGGGCAGCCUGCAGCUCCUCAGAUCUGUAGGAGGGUUGCAGGAGAUAAUGAAGGUUAUCGCUUAGCACUGCCUGGCAUCUCGUAGGCAUCCAACGAGAAUCAGAUAUUAUUGUUGUUAUGUUGACUCCCUUCAUAAAGCACUACUUUGAGAUCGAAAGCCAUUUCCGAGAAAAAUCGUCAGAUCUGGAGUAAGCACAGAUGGACGUGGUCCUGGAGCUGAUCGCUCAAGUGACCAGCAGGACGCACAGGGUGAAAGGGAAUCUGUCUGGGAAAUGCUGUCUGGGACGGUACUGGAUGUGAGAUUAAACAGUGAUGAUGAAGAUACACAAAAAAGGUCAUAAAAGAAAGACCAAACCUCUCACAUGAUAUGAUCUACAUGAUGAUAAAUUAACGGAUGAUAAAUUGACAGAAAUAAUUUGCUCGAAAUCUCAUAUUUUCAGAUUUGACAAUAAUUAUGACAAUAGAAAAGCCAAGGAAAGUGAAAAUUGGUGCUUACAGGAAAAUGCAAAGAAUUUCCAUACAAAUGUAUAAUGGUUUAAAAAUGGGACAUCAGCGAAGGUUGACAAUUAAAGCGAUAUUCAAUUUGGGCAAGGUGGAAGAUUCCACAAUGUGUUUGAGCAAAGGUGUAUUAGGGACGCUGGCUGCAGAAUCUGAACAGGAGGUUCCCAGCGUAGUCCCAGCCGUGGGGAAGACUGUGCCGCUUGCCUCACCGUGGCAUCUUGGAGCAGAGCUCCUCCGCAGCAGGUGCAGUGGGUGCAACCAGCAAGACUGAGACGAAAUGCUCCUCUCAUCUUUUACCGAGUUAACCCUGAUACUCACCUGACGCUCUUAGAAUUACUUUUAGUAGUGAAAAUCAUCACUGAAUUACAGGAAUUGUAAAAUCGACUGUGGGGUAAAUACAGAUUCACUGAUAAUUGGGAAAUUCUAAAUUAACUUUCAGGGUUUUGCAAUACACUAAUGACCCAAAGGAUUUUUCACAGAGAACUAGAACUCCGUGAAGGACCUUACAGGCCCGAGACUGACCUACCCGUACUUUGUUGGGGGCACUGAUGCGUGAGCAAGCCCUGCCUUUCUCCAGAGCAAGUGAGCUGGAAAACGCUAGUCUGUCUUUCAAAGGCCCUGGUUGCUUCUCGGAUCCUUCCAACGGACACCCUCCCCCCGCCCCCCGCGGCCUGGGACACGCCUCCUUGUGUUGGAAUGUUUACGUGCCUGUCUCCACUCUGAGGCUGUGAGCUCUGCAAGGGCAGAGCCCACGUCUCCCUCAUUUCUAGGCUUGAAGAUACAAGGCAGGUGGGCUCUUGGCCAGCUCAGGGCUCCCUUGCUAUUUGUGGAUCAAAUGGGACGCCCCUCUGACAGAGUAGCAGAGUAGCAGAGACUUCCUGUGCUUCUUUCUCAGACUCCUCCUCCACCCCAGGGCACUGAUGAUAAUUCCAUGUCCUGCCCCCUGCCAUUAAGUAGAACCAUGUGACCAGCUGUGGCUGAUGGGUUAUGAGCAAAAGCGACCUUUGUCACCUCCUGAUUGUUCAACAGCUUUGUUCAGGUGUUCCAUGAGCCAUUACUGAGCAUGCGCCCAGUGGUGGGGCACACUGUGCUGCCAGUGGGGUGCGGAGAUGCACAGGGCUCAGGCCCUGCCCUGAAGGAGCUCGGCUGGUGACUGGCACACAUUCAAGGGCAUCAACGUAAAUACACUGUGAUAAGCACCUUGAAAGGUUGUCUGUGUCCCAGUUUCUCUUUCGCCCCCUCCCCUAUGUGGUCCUCAAUCCACUCCAGUCUUCCUGAGUCUCUGCCACUUGUCAAGGUCACUGGUAACCUCCACGCGACCAAAUCCGGUGGUCACUCAUCUGUGUUCAUUCAUUCAUUCAUUCGUCCAUCUGCACCUACCACAUGCCAGGCACUGUUCUAGCCUCCAGAUGCAUCCAUAAGUAAAACACAGCUCCCUGCCCUCGUGGGUCUGCGCUCUAGUGGAGGGAGACAGUUUGUAGUAAAUGCAAAUGAAUGUCAUGCCACAGAAGGUGACAGGUGCUAUAAGAAUGAGAAAAGGUGCCGUGGGGUCAGCAGGUGUCCCGGCAGGAUUGCACUUCUAAUUGGGUGGUCAGGGCAGGCCCCAUGAGGAGGAAGAGUCCAGCAAAGACUUGAAGCGGCAGAGAGUGAACAGGAGAGGGGCACUGGGGAGUCAGGUCAGGCGGGGCCUGCGGGCCGUUGUGAGGACCGUGCUCUGAGCAAGGUGGGCGUAUGGGCACGUGUGAGCAGACCUGCCUUAGCUUCGCCAGCCUUGUGUGAAAUAGACCCGUUUGACUCUGGCCUGUGACCCAGCUGGCCGUCUCCUGUAGAAGCCCCGCUCGCAUCUUUUGUCCUACGUUCCAGGGGUGCCUCCUUUCCCGAGGGAUGCCCCACUCUCUCCCCUCUGGCUCAGCCUCCUCCUCUGCCUCCCUGUGCUGCCGUUCCCCAGGAUGUGGUCUUGGGACCCUCUUCUCAGCUCCAUCCAUAUUCCCUCCAUCCCUUGCUUUUAAAUACUAUAUAUCUGCCUCCGAUUCAAAUUCGGCUCCAGUGCCGACCUCACGCCUGAAUUCCGGAUUAGUUCAUCCAGCUCCUUGGCAUUUCGGUUGGGAUGUCCGGAAGGCGUCUUACACUUGACAUUCCCAAGAGGAAUUCCCACCCUGCACUCUCCCCCUGCCCCCAAAUGCACCCCUCUCCUCCGGCAACGGAACCACCACCAUCCUCUCAGUUGCCCCAGCACCAAACCUGAAGUCCUUCUGGAUCCCUUUCUUCAUCUUCUUAUCCAGUUUGGCAGCGAGUCUCAUCACUUCUGCCUCCAGAACACAUUCUGCGUAUCUUCCCGUCUCCACCACCAUCCACCGAGUCUGCAACGCCAAGUGUCGAAGCAGCUUCUUCUCUUACCCUCCUACAGUAUACUCGAAAAGUGAUCUUUUCAAAUUGUAAGAUCAUGUCACUGCCCUUCUUAAAGGGAGAAGCUGUUAAUCACACUCAGAGCAAAACCCAAACCCCCACCCUGCUGUGUGGACGCUGAGAUACACCAUCCAGAUCCGGCUUCAGGGAUGGAGGCUGGUGCCCCAGCUGCUGGGGUGGUGGCUGGCAGACCCCAGGCCCCCGGAGACUGCUGAAGACCUCCCCUCACCCAAGGUCGUGAUUCGUCCCAGAGCAGCGGCAUCUGAUGACUGAUUACUGUGGGGUGUGAUGGCCCAGCUCUCUCCCCAACCCAGGACGGCCCUGAAGGUUCUCCUUGUCUUCAGAACCGCUGUGGGGCUGGCUGAGCCUCCCACUGAGGCUGCCUCUCAGCUUGACUUCUCCGUCCACCUGACCCUGCUCCCUUCCCUUCCCUUCCCUUCUGCAGGGUGGGGCCCAGGAGCAAGCCCUACCAUACCUCCCGCAGGAAGUGUCUGCCCGCCAGAGGACCCAACCUGGGAGCCCGGCUCAGGAAGCCUGGCUGUCAGCCCCUGGCCACGCUCUCCUUUCACUGGCCUUCUUUUUCUCUCCUGCUUAGGGGCCUCGGCGUGGGCUCUUUCCUCCACCUGGAACGUCUUUCCUCUUUAGUCUCCUUAUGGCUGACUCCUCCUUGCCCUCGGUCCUCACCCUGCCCAGGUGUGUUCCCGUUCUCCAGCAUUCUCCUCAUCGUAGUGCUCGCCAACACCUGGCGCACUCUGAGUUGCUUACUGUCAGUUACCCCACCAAAAUUCAAGUUCCACACCGUAUCCCUGGUGCAUAGAAUGGUGCCUGGACGUAACAGGUGCUCAGUGAAUACGAGCCGAAUAACUGGGGUUGGGAAGGGAGUUCUGGAUAUAAGGAAUGGCGUGUGCAAAGACACGAGGGUCAGAGUACACCCUGGAACUAGAGGGUUGGGGGCCCAGCUGGAGCCCAGGACUGGUGAGGGCUGAGGUGGGGGCUCUGAAUGUGCCCAGGCCUGGACUUCCCUUGGAUGACAAGGGCAUCGUGUGAGGUUUCACCAUCAGGAGAGAACGUUCAGCUUGUGAGGCUGGGUGUGCUGUGAAGGAUCGGAGGAGAAGGAAGAGAUUAGCAGCCAGGUGUCUUCCACAGUGUGUGUAAUGAGAAAUGAAAGAAGCCUGAAAUAAGACAGUGAUAUUGGUAAUCGACGCAAAUAUCUGAGAGGGAGGUUCUAGAACCCUGUGACUCAUUGGAUGGGCGGGUUGGAGAGGGAGGGGGAGCCUGGGCUGACCCCCAGUUUCAGGCCUGGGCAGCAGGUGUACCCCAGGGCCCAGCCCCAGAUCACUGCUCCCUCAGCUUCCACUUUCCUCUGUAUGCCCUUGUGCAUGCUGCUAGCUCCAUGCGGAACACCGUGCCGUGAGCCCACCAUCCCUGCCUGUCGACUCUUCGCUCAGCUGCGUUAAGCUGUCCUGGAAUGGACAGUCCCAGACAGGCCCGGCAUAGUCCCUCCAGCUUUUGUCUCAGAUGGGGAGGGACUCAAGAACAUUAGACACACACGAAGGAGGGGUAAUCCGUCUGCCUAUGGUGCUCUCUAAACCCGUUCCGAGUCCUGCCACGGUCUGCGUGGGCAGCGCUCCAGAGCAGGCAGAAGUCCAGGAGGGGCGCUUUGAAUGCUGAAACCAGCAAUUCUUGGGACAUGUGACUUGUGAAAAUGGAGGAGACUACGUGAAGUUGUGAGUGUCCUGGGAGAUCGGGGACGUGUGGUGGACUUAGGCAUUCACCCGUCGCCAUCAGUGGAUGCACCUGGGUGUGGGGAAGGCCUUGGGUUUGAGGCAAGACAUGGUCAGAGGACAAGAGAGCCAAAGUCGAAGACUGCAAAAGGGGGGCAGCAGAGAGGGGCCUGGGCGGGUGGCAUCUAGGGCCUUGGUGGGGCGGCGGAUAAGCCAGCAGGAGUCAGGUCCUGGAGCUCUGGGAUUGGGAGCUGGCUCAUCUAGGGGUGGAGAAGACCCUCCAUGGUCAUCAGCCUCUGGGGAAGGGGGGGGUCCAAGGACAGCGCAGAGUGAAGCCCCCACGCUGGCAUCGAGGUGCAGCCGCCCUGCAGGAAGUUGGAGGAAAGGCUGUGUCACAAUAGGCACCACCAGUCUGGCUGGGGGCGGGGCAGGUGGGGUGUUGUGGCCAGGCACCUGGUCCCUGUGUCCCCCAGCCUGCCAUCCCCAAGCUGGCUUCUUGUACACUGACACAUGCUUGGGGUCCAGCACUGCGUGGGACUCCCACAGUGGGCCUAAGAUCACGGUCCAAUGUGGCUUCCUGCACCCUUCUCCCCAUACCCACAAGGGAGACCCACAGGAUUCGAGCUUCUGUCUGUGUUUUGCUUGUGCCUGGACCUGGCGAAACCUCCAUGGUGAUCGAUCCCCACUUUGCGUGGAUGGGACAGCCGUCCUCAACAUUCUUCCUUGGACAUGCUCACCGAUGGUACUUACACAAGCCCCUCAUGCCCACAGGCGACCCAGGUAUCCACGGAAUUCAGAAUCUUUGUGAAUGGAAAAAUAGCAAAUGUCUUGUGAAUAAUAAAGUGUCACUCAUUCAAAAAUCUCAAA